rnacentral:tRNA from 1 species
GCCUUGAUGGUGAAAUGGUAGACACGCGAGACUCAAAAUAUCGUGCUAUAGCACGUGGAGGUUCGAGUCCUCUUCAAGGCA